GAGCCGGCGCUGGGGCUCGGCCGCCUGCCCAGCCCCCCCACCCCCCCCCCCACUCCCACCCCUCCCCCACCUCCCCGCCCGGGUGGGCGCGCAGGGGCCCGGGCGCCGAGGGCGCUCCCCCAUCUUCCUCCCGGACCCCACGGACUCCCCACUCCAUCCUGCCCGGGGACUUGGGGUCCGGGCGACCCCCCGAGGGCAGAGCCUGGGGCAGGGAGACCUCGGGGGGGGGCAGUACCCGGCGGGGGCCUCGGUCUGGGGCGGGCUCCAGACCACCGGGGCGGAGCUGCUGCGGCGCGCGGGCGAGGUUACCGCCGACCCCGGGAGGAAGCGGGAGGGAGGGGUCGGGCUGUGAACGCCCAGGGCUUGGCCGCCUGGAACCCGCCCCACUGGGAAUGCGAGGCGCCGGAACUUACCUGGGCGCUAGGGGCUGAACCCCACCAUCCCCGGGCUCCAGACCCUGGCGGGAGCGUCCACCCAAAAGAAAGGAAAAACUGGGGUGGGGUGGGGGGUGCUGGGCAAGGAGGAAGGCGAGACAAUCGAAGGAAACCGUGUCUAGACUUAUCCCGGCCCUCCCUCGCCUCUCGGCCGCCCGCUAAAGCGCCAGGUCGCCUCCGGGCACCGCCCCUGAGCUGCUGCCCCUCGGGUUGUUGGGAGCAGACGUUCCUUCAAGAGCGUGAAGGCCCGGGUUGCACCACUGCUGCACGAGGUUGGCCAUCCAGAAGGUGAGCCCCCCAGAGAUCAUAGACAAUUGGAGGAAACUCUGAGAGUCCUCCAGCGAGUGUUUUUCUUCAAAGUCCCUGAUGCCUUCAGAUACCUUUAUGGACCGACGCUGGCACAGUAUCUUCACUCAGUCGUGAAGCCCUGCCUCCCCCAAGCGCUGUGAAGAGAAUGUGACAAACACAAAGUUAAGAAAAGCAUGAACCCUGAUACCUCAGAGCUCACCAUCUCGUGUGCAGGGUUGUGUCCCUAAGAAAUGGGUACAUAAAGAGAUGAACAGCAAAGCAAGCAAGAGUAUGAAUCUUUAAAAUGUUCAUAAUCUUCAACCCAGAAAGUCUGCUUGCAGCAAGGUCUGCUAAGGUCACAACGAAGAAGCUCUCAAGAAUGUAUACAAAAAAAGAAGCCCUUCGGAGAUAGCCCUAAUUGUGGGAAAACCAGGAACAGAUUAAAAACUUAACAGCUUGUUAAGUAAAUGAUAGUGUAUUUAUACAGUGAGUACUACGUAGUCAUUAAAAAUGAUGAUGUAUUACAAUAUUUAGUAACACGGAAAAGGAUUUUCACUACACAUUGUGAAGGAAGAAAACACUGUGCAAAACAAAUGUAUGUAGCCUGACCUCAAGCCACUUCAUAUAUAUGAAGUUAUAUUUAACUAUAUAAUUUGCAUGUUUAUAUAAUGUAUGUAUAUGCAUAACCAGAGCAAAACCUGGAAGUAUAUAUAUAUCAAGAUUUAGCAGUGGCCAUUCCUGGAAUUAAAGAUGAUUUUUUUUUUCAGUCUGUAAUCAACCAAUAGAGAUCAUCAUGCUAAAACUCUCUAGGAAAAAAAUUUAAAAAAUAAUAAAACUCUUUAGGGUUAGCCGUCAGGGCAGUAACACGGCAGCAAGAUAAGGAGGAAGAAACAAGACAAGUGGGCAGAAAUGUUUGGGCACUGAUGUAAGGCAUUACCCUUGGAAACUCAUGGGGCCCACAUUGCAUGAACUUAUUUCCAACUAAUAAGCCAGGGGAGUGGGAGAGGCUGGCCUUGGACCAUAAAAAAUCUCCUAUAAAAAGUAACCAGAGGGGCACCUGGGUGGCUCAAUGGUUGAGUGUCUGCCUUUGGCUCAGGUCGUGAUCCCAGGGAUCAAGCCCCAUAUGAGGCUCCCCAAAGGGAGCCUGCUUCUCCCUCUGCCUAUGGUCUCUACGUCUCUAUGUCUUCUCCCUCUCUCUGUGUCUCUCAUGAAUAAAUAAAUCUUAAAAAAAAAAAAUAACCAGAAUUCCACUUCAUAUCCAGAAUCUUUUCAGGCCAAGAACAUGUAGAUUAUAAUGGGAUGCAACUUUAUCUGGAAAUAGUGACUUGCAUUCAUUAGCUGGUCUCUUUCCCUGUUCAUUUUUCUCUAUUAUUUUCCCUAUUUAUUGCCUCACAGUGACCGAACUUCAUUUCCUUCUUUGACCAUAUUUAUACCACUGAGCACAAUUCUCCUUGCAAGAGAAGAAGGAGCAGAAUAGGAGUUCCUGGUUUCACUCGGUCAUAUACAGACAUUACCUAGUAUUCCCGGGGCAGUGGCCCUCUGUCUCUUUGUUUCAGCAGAGCAGAUGAUUGACACAGCCUGGGCCCAGGAUAAGAUCCUGCCCAAUUGCUUAUUGCCUCCACUCAUCCAUUAACACAUUCUUCGAAUGCCAACUACAUGUCAGACAUCUGGGUCAGUGUUGAGCCCAUAAACACUGGCACUCCUCAGGUGCCUCUUAUCCCAUCCUAGAGAAACAAUCUCCCAGAAUCCUAAUGUCAGAAUCUUACAGUAACAUGAUUAAUUAAAUUUAGAGUUGGAACAGCUUGAAUUUCCACUAAGGAAAGAAGAGGAUUAUCCUUUCAUCCUCUUCCUCUUGUCACUUCCUCUCCACCCUCAACAUAUAAUUACAAGAGAUCAUAUACUAUUGUAAUUUCAGAAGGAGAGAUUUUGAGGGUCUCCAUAGAGAUUAUGCAUUUGCUGGUCUCCAUGGAGAUACUUACUAACCCAUGGAAUUAUUUUCAUCCCCUGGCCCUCUUUGUCUUUUGUGUUGACUUAAGGAUAACAAUUGGGCAAUGAAUUGUGCUCUGACACAUAUUCAGGACCACAAAGGACAUUUCCAUGCCCCUAUAUAGAGCCGUUCAAAAUACAGAGCCCUUGGUUAUUGACUCCCCCUAAGCCAGUAAGUAGUCUCAGCAGAGCUCAAAGAGCGCAGCCGAAAACAAGAAUUCAACAAUCAGUCCCUUCACUUCUCCUUCUGAGUUGAAAAGAUAAACACCCCCAAAUGCCACUUUCUAAAGAGCAGCUAGACAAGUAGCACAUUAGCAAUUUAAAUUUACAGAUUAAAGAAAGGGACUUAGAUGGUGAACUUUAAAGGGAGAAAUAUGAGUAGCUUGGAUAAGUAACUAACAGAAGGCUUGACAAAUUUCCACACAUGUUCAGCAGGUGAAGACACAAAAGAGGAAGACAGAUUAUUAAGAUUGGUAUCAAGAAGCAUGGCUAGUCAUGCCAGUUGGAUGACAUGACAGCAAGAAAAUAUACGCUAGAGCCCCAGGAAGAGAUCCGGCUACAUUGGUGCAAAGGAAGUUUCAUUCUGUGGGUAUUGAGCUCAGAGAGCAAGCUCUCACAGCGACUGACGGUACCACAGUACCCUGCAUUUGUCUGCCAGGCCUGCCAUGAAGUACCAUGGGCUGGGUGGCUUAACAGAAACUUAUUUCUUCACCACGACGGCAGCUGGAAGUCCGAGAUCAAGGUGUUGGCAAGGUUGAUUCUUCCAAGGCCUCUCUCCUUGGCUUGCGGAUGGCCGUCUUCUCCCUGUACCUGGACAUCAUCUUCCCUGCGUGUACAUACAUGUGUGCCCUGAUUUCUUUUUAGGACAUCUGCCAUAUUUUUUUUUUU
rnacentral:lncRNA from 1 species